rnacentral:lncRNA from 10 species
GUUUUGUGGCCAAGGCAGGGGCAGAAGCCAGCUCUUCUUACCCACUGUCCCCAAAGCUCAUCUCACACUGGAGUUGUGACAUCAGCACUAUUCUGCCUCUGCUAUACAACAGGCCCUGGAACAUACUCGAACCAUGUAGGUGAUUUGUGUCCCUGUCUCAUCUUUCUUACCAGAAUACCAUCGGAGCUCCUCUGGAACAUGUCCUUGUCUUCUCAGAGUGUGAAGUGUGUGUGUGACAGUGCUUUUCUGAGGACUCAGGUGACCUGGAGGCUGGAGAACAGCAUGGAGCAAGGAAAACAAAGACGAUGUGCUGGAGUGUAUGUUGCUUUCAUAAUUAUGUGAAAGAAAAUGUAGAGAAAUUUGAAAGGAGAACUGGUUAUCAGUAGUGCCAUCCUGCUCAAAUAUCUUCAAAUACACACCACCAUCCAUGUGUGGGUUGAUUAAGGAGCUGACGUUCAUUAGAUCUGCAGUCUCCUGACCUGAUGUGCAUCAGAAUCACUGGGAGAACAAACAAACAAAAAUGAAUCCAAAACAAGCAACGAACAGACAGAUUCUCAAGUCUUGCCAAGUCCAAAGAUUGAUUUGGUGGAGAAAUUGUACUUUGAAAGCUGCCCAGUAUCACCUCUUGAAGACAGAGCUCAGACAGUGUGGUGUAAAGGGGAGAGGAUGGACUUCGGAGUCAGGGUUGGGUUCAAAUACUGGCCAUACCGCUUACCAGCCAUGUGACCCUGGGUAAGUUACUUCACUUGAAUAAGCUUCAGUUUCCUUCUUUGUAAAAAGAGAUAACGUCUGUCUCACAGGGUUGAAAUAAGACAAGGCAGGCCAGGCCUCUUGCAUAUUGUCUAGCAUGCACUAGGUGCUCUGAAAAGGCAGCCUUGGGCUAAAGGAGACUCAAGAAACAUGACAAUUAAGUACAUUUGGGAGCCUUGAUAGGAUCUUGAUUCAAAAAAGUACACAAGCACACAUAUUGGGGCAAAUGGAGGAAUUCGAAUGAGGACUUUAUGUUAGGUAAUAGCGUGGUAUUAAUGUUAAAUUACCUGAGUGUGGUCAUGGUAUUGCGGUUACAGAGGAGAAUGUCCUUCUUCCUAGGAACUACAUGCUGAGUCCCCAGGGACCCCAGGAGAGUGUCACAGUGACUCAUGCUGACUUACAAUUCUCUGGAGAGGAGAAUGCUUGAAACGAAAGAGCCAGUUUCAUACUGAAUAUCUGAUAUAAACUCUCAAAUGGUUUAUCAAACAAACUAAUAAAAAUGUGUGUAUAUGUUCCCACAUGCACACAUACACCAUGGGAAAGAGAACGCCAAUGUGAUAAACGGGUAUUCAUUGUAUGAUGAUUACAACUUUUCUGUAGUUCUGAAAUUUUUCAAAAUAGAAAGUUGUGGGAUGAAAGAGCUUCAUGCAGAGCAUGGACAGUGAGCCUGUAGAACAGCACAAGGCCCACGGGCAUUUAUUUUGUUUUUUCUCCUGGGCCUGGACAUGUCAUAGGCCUGCCUCUGUCCAGGGCAGAAGGAACUGCCUCCCUUAGCAUAUUUCCCCAGAGGGCCUUCCCACACCCACCACCACCUGGACUGCAAUGCAGAGCCCACCUGCUCCCUGGCUGUGUUCCUAUUCCA